UAACAGCAAAGUGCAGCAUACGCGUGCGCGCUGUUGUUGCUAGUAGCAAGAAAAAUCGUAUGGUCAAUACAACCAGGUGCAAGGUUUAAUAAGGAUUUUUGCUUCAACGAGUCCUGGAUAGACAAGACAACAUGAUGUUGUGCUGUGUGCUCCCAAUCCCCAGGGCGUUGUGAAGAAAACAUGCUCAUCUGUGUUAUUUUAUGGAUCAGCGACGAAACCUCCCCCAAAUACCCCUUUUUUUUUUGAAAGGAGGAUAGGCCCCCGGUCUCUGCAUCUGGAUGCCUCCUUAAAUCUUUGUAGCCAUAAACCAUUGCUAGUGUCCUCUAAAUUGACAGUUUAGAAUAGAGGUUCUACUUUUGUAUCUUCUUUUUGACAGUUAGACUGUAUUCCUCAAAUAAUCGACAUGUUGUUUACUCGAAGAUGAGAAAUAAAAUCAGAGAUUGAAGAAUCCCAAAAGCUAGAUGAUCUAGAGCUAAAAGAUCUUUUUGCUAAGGGCAACUUCAAUCGGGCAACCUAAACGAACAAAAGAUUUAUCUGUUUUUGUUUUGUCUAUCACCUGUAGGUGCGCCCAACGCAGAUUGACGUAUUUCACACUUGGGCGUAUUUUGGAAUUAAAAAAACCGACAAAUGUCAGUUUCACAUUAAUUAAAACUAAAAAACAUUAAAAUAAACAGCCAUCCAACAGUGAUAGAUCUAGGUGUCAUCGUCCUCUCUUUGGUCAGGUUAAUGAAGACUGGCGUCGGCAUCCAUGGGGAACGCUUGCUGGAAGGCUGCCAGCCCAGCCGCAUGCUGCUGUUGCAUAUCCUGCGCAGCUAUCCUUGCUGCGACUUACCUCCAACGCGUGCCGCUUAGUCUUCUCGUCGGUCACGCCUAGUCACACGGGCAUGCAUGAAACGUAUUCUCUCUGUUUCUAAAUAUUUAUCUUUCUAGAGAUUUCAACAAAUAACUACAUACGAAGCAAAAUGAGUGAAUCUACACUCUAAAAUAUUUCUAUAUACAUCCGUAUGUGAUAGUCCAUUUGAAAUCUCUAAAAGGACAAAUACUUAGAAACGGAGGAAGUACAUCGGCGUCGUGCUCGUCCACACCCAAGAUUGGCCGUCUAGCUCCCACAGCUCCUCCACAGAUGUGGGUUGGGCUGGUGGCGGUGGGGACGUGUUCGCCUCUACCCCGGCAGCCAAUUCGGCUAGCGCCUACAAAUGGCGCGAGCUAUUCGUGCUUGGAAUCCUCGAUGGCCUCCUCGAGGCCCGCAAUGUAGGCCUCCUCAGCCGCCCGAUCCUCCUCCACCACCGAUGGUGGUGGUGGAACGACUAGUGCAAAAGUGGCUCGGCACCUUCGAGACCCCGGAGCUUGCCGCGCGUAUGUGCGACGCGGUGGCGGUCCGGUAUGGAUGGAGGCUGGCCAAGCUCAACUUCCCUAAGGAGGCCGACCACACACAGCUCCUCGCCCCUUCCAUGUAGAUUGUGUCCCAUGAGGAGGAGAAGGCGCACUGCCGGGCUAAGGCCAAUGAUUAGUUGCACAUGGCGAAGUUCGUCGAGGCCAACCCGAAACUCGUGGUGGCGGAGCUUUCAUUCUACAUCAAAAUGGAUGCGACGCCUAAGGAGGAUGCGGAGGAUCAUCACAGGAUAGAGACCGAGGUCGAUGAGUUGUUCAACCGGAAGGGCUUGGACGCGUCUACCAGAAAUGACCAUAAGGGCGAUCGACACUGACUAGGACAACAACCACAACACGUACCGUGCGUGUACAAUGACGCCUUCCCUGUGAUGGUCUACUAUAGAAGUGAGGAUGAGUAGUGUGAUGAUCUAUCGUAGUACCAAUUAAUUAUUUAGUAUGACAUGGUUUUGAUGUUUAAUGUUGAACAUAGUGUAUUUGUGUUUGAAAUUUCAGAAAAACAAAUAGAAAAGGAGGAUUACCCCGGCCUCUGGAUCUGGACGAUGCAUGCAGCCUAUUCACAAAGACCUUACAAAAUAGUACAUUAGGUAGUCUGAAGCAACCAUUUUAGCAACAAUUGUCGGUACUCCUAUCCACCUGAUGAAGGGGUGCCGAUAGUCCGAGCCUAAUACCAAACAGACAUCGCACAAAUGCCUAACAUCUAAAGACAAAGGCCCCAACCAAGCCACAUACUGGGUUUGGGGCACAAACUGGUCCGACGCACUCUCUGAGUCGUCGCCGCCAUCUUCCACCAAUCCAUCUUCAGAGCAGAAACUAAUGCACCGACCUUGCCAUGCCUCUCUGCCAUCGAUGUAACCAUGACCCUAGACAAUAUCCUCCUCCUGCGCGAGUCCAUCUCCGUGCAUCGGACUCCGAGUCUUCAUAGCACCACACCGCCGAGAUCCACCGCCAUCAAUGUGUAAGAUGAAGCACCACUCCACCAAAGAAGCCUUCCUCUGUUCCCUCGAGCCCGUGUGUACCUUCAUGAAUGACGCCCCAAGGGGCAAACGACACCAGAGCGCCGCCGUCAUCCGAUCUACCGAUCUUGGUUUUCCCCCGGAGGUAGCAGAGAGUGGCCUUGAACUUCUUGAAGCAGCACAAAGUUUGUGCUGCUUUAGGUGGUAUCAGAGCCUCGUUGACCCAUACUAGUUCUUGCUGUCCUCUUCGAGAGUAAGUUGCAGCAAGCAAUGGAGCAAUUGGAGAAGAGGAUGGAUGCUGCUGAACAACAAAUCAAAUAGCUGCGUGAAGAUCUUAAUAGGAGAUUUGACCAGCUGGUUGAGAUGAUAAGAAAGGGUGCCCCCCCUGCUACCAAUGAAGGAGAUUCAUCUAAAGAAGAGGAAGAUGUUCAUCAAGGAAGAAGGAGAGGUAAUCUUGGAGCAAGACCGCCACGACAACAUGUUGUUCAACGUGCUUCAAGAAGGCCAAUUUAUGUUGAGGCUUCUGAAGGUGAAGAAUAUGAUGAUGCCCUUGAAGAGCCAAAUCUCUACGCAUAUCGGAGAGCACCCAACCCUACAUAUGCAAGAGAUACAUACAAGGUGAAAGCUGAGAUCCCAAGUUUUAAUGGAAAUGUUGACAUUGAAGGGUGCCUGGAUUGGUUAUAUGAAGUGGAGACUUUCUUUGAGGUCAUGGAGGUUCCGGAAGAUCGUAGAGUUCCUUUGGUCGCAUACAAACUGAAAGGAGGAGCCGGUGCAUGGUGGCAUCGCGUUCAAGAGGAGCGCAGGCUGAGAGGAGAACCUCGUGUUAGAACUUGGCGACAAAUGAAAGGCCUCUUGAAAGGGAGAUUUUUGCCCGCUGAUUAUGACCAGAUCCUAUUUAUCCAAUUUCAAAAUUGUGCUCAAGGAAAUAGGACUGUUUCAGAUUACACGGAGGAGUUUCUAAGGCUACAAGUGAGGUGCAACCUUGCUGAAACUGAAGAGCAACAAGUUGCAAGGUACAUCAAUGGUCUCAAUGAUGCUAUUCAAGAUCGAUUGAUGAUGCAACAAAUCUGGUCCGUUGAUCAGGCACAAGCUCUAGCCUUAAAGGCCGAGAGGUUUGUGAGGAUGAGAAAGACAACUAAGGCUCCAUAUCCUCAUACCGAAUGCUCAUCUAGGAGCCAACCUAAUAGAGUGGAAGAAAAGACCACUCCACCAAAGACAAAACAGCCCAUCCCGAAGCAAACUAGAGGCAAGGGUAAGGCAAAUGAAGGUCCAAAGUGCUAUAAAUGUGGUAAAGAGGGACACAUAUCCAGCGGCUGCCCACUAAGGAAAUUUGUUAACACGACUAUCCAUGAUGGUGAAAGCGAUGAGGAAGAAUACGAAUCUGAAGAUGUAGACGGACAAGAGGUUUGUCAAGAAGAAGGUGAAGAGGUGGCAUGUGUGAUCCAGCGUGUCCUAUGUUCCACACCACAACUCGAUGACACACAACGGAAGAAAAUAUUUGAGAGCAAAUGCACGGUGAAUGGCAAGGUAUGCAAACUAGUGAUUGAUAGUUGCAGCUGCGAGAAUCUUAUCUCCCAGAAGUUGGUGGACCAUUUAAAGCUUGAAACCCAUGAUCAUCCAAAUCCCUACACUAUUGGAUGGAUCAAGAAAGGAGUGAAUAUUAGGAUCACCAAACAAUGCAACCUGCCACUUUCUUUGGGUAAGCAUUAUCGCUCAAAUGUGUUGUGUGAUGUGGUUGGCAUGGAUGCCAGCCAUGUUCUUCUUGGGAGGCCUUGGCAAUUUGACGUGGAUACUACACACAAGGGCAAGGAAAAUUCUUACUCUUUCAUUUGGAACAAGAGAAGGAUCAUUAUCUUACCAAACAAACCCGAAGGUAAUACCUCUAAGGAGGAGGGGAAAACUAUGUUAACUAUCUCCCAUACCUCUCAUGAGUUUAUGGAAGACUUGAAGGAGGCAGAUUUGUGUGCUGCACGUUGUAAAGGGAGAAGAGCACCUGACUGUUGAAAUUUCAGCAAAGGUACGUGGUUUAUUGGCAGAAUUUCAGAACAUACUUGGGGAGCCACAUGGCUUGCCACCGAUGAGAGGAAUUCAACAUAGAAUUGACUUAAUUCCGGGAGCAAAUCUUCCUAAUCUUCCACACUAUCGAAUGAGCCCAAAGGAGCAUGGUAUAUUGAAGGAGAAAGUGGAGGAGUUGUUGCAAAAGGGGCACAUUCGAGAAAGUAUUAGCCCAUGUGCUGUACCAGCCCUACUCACGCCAAAGAAAGAUGGAUCUUGGUGCAUGUGUACGGACAGUAGAGCCGUUAACAAGAUCACCGUAAGGUAUAGAUUCCCUAUUCCCCGUCUGGAUGAUAUGUUGGAUCAGCUUAGUGGAGCAAGAGUGUUCACAAAGCUAGAUUUAAGAAGUGGAUAUCAUCAAAUCCGUAUAAGACCCGGGGAUGAAUGGAAGACCGCCUUCAAGACAAAGGAAGGGUUGUUUGAAUGGCUAGUCAUGCCAUUUGGACUCUCAAAUGCACCAAGUACCUUUAUGCACUUAAUGAAUCAAGUCCUUAGACCCUUCUUAUCCCACUUUGUUGUGGUCUAUUUCGAUGACAUCUUGAUCUAUAGCAAGGAUGAGGAUGAACACUUUGAUCACAUUCGGAAGGUGCUAGAAGUACUAAGGGAAAAUGAGCUCUACGUCAACUUGAAGAAAUGUAUUUUCCUACAAACACAACUUCUUUUCCUAGGAUUCGUCAUAACAUGUGACGGCAUUCGUGUUGAUGAUUCUAAGGUUGAAGCAAUCCGAGAAUGGCCAACUCCUAAGACCAUUUCUGAGGUAAGAAGCUUUCAUGGCCUUGCAACUUUCUAUAGGUGUUUUGUUAAGAAUUUCAGCACUAUCAUGGCACCAAUUACCGAGUGUUUGAAGAAAGGAAAGUUCCAAUGGGCAGAAGCAGCUGAAGCUAGCUUCAAUGAGAUUAAACAAAAGCUAUCACAAGCUCCUGUCUUGGUACUACCUGAUUUCAACAAGACUUUUGAGUUGGAGUGUGAUGCAAGUGGAGUAGGCAUUGGAGCUGUCCUAUCUCAAGAAAGGAAGCCCAUUGCUUUCUUUAGUGAGAAGUUAAGUGAAGCUAGACAGAAAUGGAGUACCUAUCAGCAAGAAUUAUACGUCGUUUUCAGAGCGUUGAAAACUUGGGAAGUCUAUUUGCUGCCUAAAGAGUUCAUUGUUUAUAGCGACCAUCAAUCCUUGAAGCAUUUUAGAAAUCAAAAGCAUGUUGACCGCAUGCUAGCAAGAUGGGCAGCAUAUCUUGAGAGGUUUAACUAUCUCAUCGUGCAUAAAUCUGGAAUAACUAACAGAGUGGCCGAUGCUUUGAGUCGUCGUGCAUGCCUCUUGACUUCUUUUGAAGCUGAACUUCCGGGCAUGGGUCAAAUAAAGGAGUUGUAUGAGGGUGACGAAGACUUUGGCCAUGUUUGGGUAAAGCACGCAAGGGACCAACCAUUAGGUGAUGACUAUUUGAUGCAAGAUGGAUAUCUCUUCAAAAAUGAUCGUUUGUGCAUUCCAAGAAGUUCUCUACGUGACAAGCUGGUUAGAGAGCUCCAUUCAAGUGAUCUUAGUGGCCAUGUUGGACGGGACAAGACUAUCGCUAACCUGGAAGCUCGCUACUUUUGGCCACAACUAAAGAGAGAUGCUGGAAAGUUCGUUGAACGGUGCCCCGUAUGUCAGACUUGCAAAGUCCAAGUCUAGAACACAGGGUUAUACAUGCCUUUGCCUGUUCCUGUUGCUCCAUGGGAGGACAUUUCUAUGGACUUCGUCUUGGGCUUGCCAAGAACAAGAUGAGGAAGUGACGCUGUAUUUGUGGUCGUGGAUAGAUUCUCUAAGAUGGCUCAUUUCAUCCCAUGCCGCAAGACAACGGAUGCUCAUCAUGUGGCAAACCUAUUCUUUCAAGAAGUGGUCAGACUUCAUGGAGUUCCAAGGUCCAUUGUCUCAGACCGUGAUAGCAAGUUUCUUGCUGCAUUUUGGCUCACUUUGUGGAAGCAAUUCAACACUGAAUUGAAAUUUUCUAGCACUGCUCAUCCACAAACAGAUGGACAAAUGGAAGUGGUGAACAAGUUUUUGGGUAAUCUGAUCCGUUGCAUUUGUGGAGAAAGAAAGGGGCAAUGGGAUUUGGCUUUAUCUCUUGCAGAGUUCUCCUACAAUAACUCCAAGCAUAGAUCCACAGGAAGGAGCCCUUUUUCCGUUGUCUACACUAAAGUUCCAACACAUGUGGUGGACCUGGUGAAGCUACCAUCAAGGGAAAACUCAAAAUCAGCAUUGUCCUUUGCUGAUAAUUACACCGAGUUAUUUGAAGAGAUUCGCGGCGCUUUGGAAGCACAAAAUCAGAAAUAUAAACAACUUGCUGAUUGCAAAAGGAGGCCAAAAUCAUUCCAAGUCGGUGAUAAGGUGAUGGUCUACCUCCGAAAAGAGAGGCUGCCUUUAGGUGUUAAAGGGAAACUUAGGCAGCGAAGGUAUGGGCCCUUCUCUAUCAUGAGGAAGAUAAAUGAUAAUGCUUAUGUGAUAGAUCUUCCAAGUGACAUGGGUAUCUCCAACACUUUCAAUGUUGCGGACUUGACUCUCUACCAUCCAGAAGAAGCGCUCUAUGAAGAUAACUCGAGGGCAAGUUCCAAACAACCAGGGGAGAAUGAUGAGGAACACUAGAUGAGAAGAAAGAAAACACAUGCCAGAUCUGUUUGGCUACUUCUAGAUGCUUCCACUCUAGUGUAGUAUUUCUUUCCUUUUCUUUUCUAUCCUACCUACUGUUUUCUAGAGUCUUCUAGUUGUGAGUAGCUAUGAGUAGAAUGGUGAAACUUAGAUAAUGUUUUCUAGAGUAUUCCAGCUAUAAGUAGAAGUAUGUGAAGGCUUCCCAAAGCCCUAUAAAUAGAGGUCCUCGCCUCUACUUUGGAGGCAGACUAUGUACCCCUACCUAUAAUAGAACUUGUUGUUCUUAUCUAAGAUCUUGGAGUAGAUCUUGUGCCCUAGGAGUUCUGGAUUGAACUCUUGCUGCCCUAUCAACCUACAUUCGCCUCUAGAGCGAUAUCUAGCGCAGCACGUUGAAGCUGUUCCUUCAACACUUGUGCUGUACACAUUGUAGCAGCAAGGUGGAGUUGCUCCUCCACAAACUUUGUGCUGCUUCACUUCUCCACGACGAUGCCUUCAAGAAGGGAACGACAGAAACAUCGCCGCCACCGCCGGCCUUGGCAGUAGCCGAAAGCAAGUUUUCACCCAGAUCUGUUCGAAGAAACUCCAUCUCUCGUGCACAGGCCACCACGUCCCCAGGAGUGGGAUCCCAAGAUCCGCCGCCACCGGUGCCGCCACAAGGACCCACCACCUAGCCGUCAUUCCUGACGAAGGGGACGGCGCCACCAUAAUGUUUGGAUCCAGCACCACGCCAACGCCUCCGGCCGCCCCCAAUCACAUCGGUGAAGGAGGACAGCCAACGCGCGCGCCCACCAUCGCUUAGGCCCGCCAGACGGCGCCCUCGCCGGACCACCCGGAAGAGAACCGAUCUGGGGUGGGAAACCCCAGAUCCGCCGCCGCUAGCCCCCGCAGCGCCGCCAGAAUCCCAUCGGGCCAUCGCCCGAGCGCGCCAACUUCGCCUCCAUGUCGUACGCCCAGGGGCGCCGUCGCAUCUCAGUCAGAGGAUCCCAUCGUGAAGAAAGGAGGAGGGCCCGCCGUCCGCCGGGCGAACUUUGCUCGCCGACCUCCUCUUGCGGCGGCGACGGGAAAGUAGGGGAGGAGGGAGGUCGAGUGCGGCAUCGGCUAGGGCGCCCGAGUCGGAGGCAAGCAAUGAAUCAUGUUCAUGUUUGGAAGUUUUAGGGCAUCUUUUACGACAUAAAACUUUCUUAUGACUAAAAACUUCCGUCUCCUACCCUAAAAUAGCUAAAAUCACUUUUCGGCGUUAACUUUUGCAUCAUCUGUUUUUUUACAAGGAACUUCGAGAGUUUUAUUCAAUAAAAGUACUCGCCGAGUAGUCAACCAGCAGGCUACCGAUCAGGAAGCUAGGGGUAGAGCCUAACCAACUUUCAAUCAUAUUAAGCGUACAAGCACGCUUAGCACAAAUAUGUGCAUGACUAUUUCUUGAUCUUAUUACAUGUUGAAUGACAAAAGAAGUAAAACUAAGAGCAAGCUCUCCAAUUUCAGCGACAAUUGGUGCUACAAUUCAGUGAUGCGUAACGAGUGUUCCACAUGUUAACUGCCUCUAGAUAGUCAAUUUCCAUGAUCGCAUGUGUGAAGCCUCUCAGCUUGGUGUAGAUGGCAACAUCCUUCAUUGACAAGACCUCGGCGGCGAGGGGAUCCGUGACCCCCAAGUGAGGCUUGCACCAUGCACCCUUGAAAGCCGAAGAAGAGCGAGCUACACCUCCAUCUCCAGCGUUGCGGCCAUCAAAAUGAAUUGGAACAUCAAUGUUAAUCUUGACUUGUGUUGCGUCUGGAGGCCGCUAACCAUAGCCUGGCAGCAUCAAGGGCUGCUGACGAGGUAGAUCCAAGAGAGCUAGGUCUUCUCUGAUACUUCUGACCAAGCUAACAAGAAGGUUCCGCUCAUGAUAAUGAGUCCAUCUGUUGUGAGACAUCCAAAUGGCUCACAUUACGGUGAUGAUGGUCUCUCUAUCCUUAUCUGAGAGCCGCAAAUCACAUAAAAUGUCUUGGUCCAUGAACUAGGUUACUAGGAUGAAGCUGGGGGACAUGGAUAUCGAAUAGGAGUUUGGCUUCCUCCCAGAACCAACGAGCAUGAGAACAAAGUAAAAGAGCAUGCUUUGGGUCUUCAGCCAUGGCUAGACAAACUUUGCAAGUGUUGAGUUCCUUGCAUGUGCUUCAGAGUACAUUCAUCAGGUAUAAUACCUCGAAUCACACGCCACCAGAAAACCUCCACCUUGGGAACUAUGCUGAGUUUCCAAAUAGCCUUCCACAUUUGUUAUUGGUCCACUGAAGAUCCUGUAACCUUCCCUUCAUUUAGAGCCGGGAGCUCAUUUUGAUUCACCAGAGUUUGAUAUGGCAAUUUAACAGGGUAGAUGUCAAAUUUCUAAUGUUCCCAAGCUAAGAAAUCUUCACCACCAGCGUGCCGAAGAGGGAUGUUCAAGAUUGCAUCGGCAUUGGGUGGUAUGAAUGUGUCCCACACAGGCUCCUGUCGCCAAGUCCAAGUAUAUGUGUGAUUGCUUGUAUCUGCAUUGGUAUUUCCCCGAAGAGGAGAGGAUGACGCAGCACAACAACGGUAAGUAUUUCCCUCAGUUAUGAAACCAAGGUUAUCAAUCCUGUAGGAGAACCAAGCAACACUAUGUAAACGUUACCUGCACACAAAUAACAAAUACUUGCAACCCAACGCGUAAGAGGGGUUGUCAAUUCCUCCACGGUAAUAAGAUAGAUUAAAUUGUAUGAGAUUUGAUAAAUAGAUCUAACUAAAACACAAAAUAAAAUAAAUAAAGAAAAAGUGCAGCAAUGUAUUUUUGGGUUUUUGGAAUAAUAGAUCUGAAAACAAUAUGAUAGAAAAUAGAUCGGGGGGCCGUAGAUUUCACUAGUGGCUUCUCUCGAGAAAAUAGCAUACGGUGGGUAAACAAAUUACUGUUGGGCAAUUGAUAGAAGAACAAAUAAUUAUGACGAUAUCCAAGGCAAUGAUCAUGCAUAUAUCUAUCAUGUCCAAGAUUAGUAGACCGACUCCUGCCUGCAUCUACUACUGUUACUGCACACAUCAACCGCUAUCCAGCAUGCAUCUAGUGUAUUAAGUUCAUGAAAAAACGGAGUAAUGCAAUAAGAACGAUGACAUGAUAUAGACAAGAUCUAUUCAUGUAGGAAUAGACCCCAUCUUUUUAUCCUUAAUAGCAACGAUGCAUGCGUACCUCGCCACCCCUUCUGUCACUGGGUGAGAACACCGCAAGAUUGAACCCAUCACAAAGCACCUCUUCCCAUUGCAAGAAAAAUCAAUCUAGUUGGCCAAACCAAACUAAAGUUUCGGAGAAGAAAUAUGAGGCUAUAAUAAUCAUGCAUAUAAGAGAUCAAAGAAGACUCAAAUAACAUUCAUAGAUAGAUCUGAUCAUAAACUCACAAUUCAUCGGAUCCCAACAAACACACCGCAAAAAGUCAUUACAUCAAAUAGAUCUCCAAGAACAUCGAGGAGAACAUUGUAUUGAGAAUCAAAAAAAGAGAAGAAGCCAUCUAGCUACUGCCUAUGGACCCGUAGGUUUGUGGUAAACUACUCACACAUCAUCGGAGGAGCAGAGGAUGAUGAACCCCUCCGUGAUCGUGUUCCCCUCCGACAAGGUGCCGGAAUAGGGCUCUAGAUUGGAUCUCGUGGUUCUGGAACUUGCCGCGGCUGAAAUUGUGUUUCGUCGACUCCCAUAGGGUUUCUAGAAUAUUUGGGUAUUUAUAGAGCUGAGAGGUAGUGGAAAGGACUUCUGUGGGCCCCACCACCCAUAAGGGCGUGCUAGGGGCCUCUGGCGCGCCCAAGUGGGUGGUGGGCCCCACGGGCCUCCCCUCGUGCACUUCCUUGGAUCCCAAUAAGUUGUCUUCUGGGCAGGAAAAAAUCUCCAAAAAGUUUCGUGGCAUUUGGACUUCGUUUGGUACUGAUAUUCUGCGAAGUAAAGAAACAAGCAAAAAACAGCAACUGGCACUGGGCACUAUGUCAAUAGGUUAAUUAGUUCCAAAAAAUGAUAUAAAGUUGCUAUAAAAUGUAUGUAAAACAUCCAAAAAUGAUAAUAUAACAACAUAGAACAAUAAAAAAUUAUAGAUACGUUGGAGACGUAUCAAUGUGUCAAUCAAAUCAUUUGGGAGUUUGCAUUGUCAUUGUUGUUGGCCGAAGCAUAGUUGUCAUUGAAACAGUAGAGGGAAUCCACAUGUCUUCCCACACCAAAAUAGAGGAACCAUCUCCAACUCGUUUCACUAACCCAAUUUGAAGUGCACCAGCCUCGCAACAUUCACCCUCCAUGUAGCCGUGGAAGAUUUUGGAAUAGUAGCUUGCAUGAAAUCAGAAUCUUGGAAGUAUCUACCUUUCAUAACUCUGGCACAAAGAGAGUUAUGGUUCAUCAUAAAUCUCCACCUAUGUUUCCCAAUAAGUAUCAAGUUAAACAAAUGAAAGUCACGGAAUCACAUUCUACCUAUGGCCUUUGGUGUUGCUAGUUUGUCCCAUGAUAUCCAGUGAAGAGACCUUCUAUCCAGAGAAUUCCCCCACCAGAAUUUUUCUAUACUCGGGAUAAAACUUGUACAAACCUUUUUGUCAAGAAGCAGCAGUUCAUGCUAUAUGUCAGUAUUGCUCGAAUGGCCGACUUGAGCAAAAUCUCUCUAGCUAACACAUGCAAACAACCUCGGACCGUCAUUGUAUCUUAUCUCUAGCCUGAUCCCUGAUGUGGUCAAAAGUCCGACUAUUGAUCCUUCCAACAAUGGUGAGUAGGCCAAGAUAACGUUCUGAAAAAGCUUCCACCUGAACGCCGAGAAGCUAUUUUAGAUUAUGCCUGAGAAGUUGUGGGUGAGUUGGGACUGAAAUAGGUAAAACUUUUGCUCUUGUUAACACAUUUUUCCCGAUGCAUCUCCGUAAACCCCUAGGAUCUCAUUGAGUAUAAUUGCACUCUCCAUAGUCACCUUCAUGAAAAUGAGACUAUCAUGAGUGAAAAGCAAGUGGUUCAUCCAAGGUGCUCUUAAGCUUGCUCUAAUACCUCUAUCAACAAAAUUUUCAUAGAAUUUUAGAAGUGAAGAAAAACCUUCGGCACAUAGUAGAAAAAGGUAUGAUGACAUGAGGUCACCUUGCCGAGGGCCCCUCAAAGGAGUGAAACAAGGUAGCAAUUCUUCAUUCACGCGAACUGAGAAUCGAACUGACGAAAACACAUUUCAUAAACAAUCUCACCAAAUUUACACAAAAGCCAAGCCUCAAUAGGAUAGCUUAAUGUUGAAAAAUUUUGUAUUUGAGUUUGACGAAAAAGAAUUUCCCCCGCUUUAUAUUAUAAAGCACCGACCACAACACAAGCAUACGGUAGCAAGAUUUGUAUUUGAGUUUGAAGUUUCAGAAUAUACAAUGAAUCAUAUUCAUGUUUGAAAGUUUUAGGGCAUCCGUUGCGGCAGAAAUAAAAAUUAUGCCCAAAAACCUUCACUCUUCUACCCUAAAAAUCACUAAAAACACUUUUUGGGUGUUACCUUUUGCAUCAUGUGUUGAAGAUGCUCUGAUAGUGUAGCCUAGAGCGCAUACGCGUGUAGAUCGUCUUUCUUCACGCUCUGUUCGCUUCUCUUUCUCCAUUUCCCUUCGUAUUCUGGGGUUCGCCGUACCAUCGAGAGAGACCCUUCUCCGCUCUCCCCAGGCACUCCAUCGAUUCUUCCUCCCCAGCCCAGCCGCGUCGAUGGAGCCCGCGCCACUCUCCUCGCUGCAGGAGGAAGGGGAACCCGACGAACCGUCCUCCUCCUCUGCCUUCUCCGCCGCCGCCGUGCCGCCUCGCCCCGCCACGCAGUAAGCCGCCAACCCCACCCGUCUCCUCACUCUCUCUACCGCGAGAGAAGCCCUAACCCACGUUCCUUCGCAGCCACUCGCUCCACAAGUACGCGCCCAUGGACUGGUCGGCCUACUUCGACGAGGAGCGCCCCGUCGCCAUCCCGAACACCGAGGACGUACGUGCGUUAGAGAGCAGGGGAAUUUCUCGGAUUGCUCAUCUGUGAUGCGUGAUCUGACUAUUGGAAGUGUUCCUUUUGGGUUCUCUGUGUGUGUAGGUUUUCAAUGUGUACAUGGCCGGAUCGGAAGGGCCCGUCGUGUUCUGUCUGCACGGAGGCGGCUACUCUGGGUAAGUUCAGAUGCUACGGUUACAAUGAGCACGGUGACAAUGCAGCAUAAUUUGCAUACAAAUACGCAGACAGCUGCUAGUUUCUGUGAUUUUCAAAAUCAUUGAUUAACCACUAACUAGUGAUGACCGGCCGUGCUGGAACCCUGGAAAGCUUAUGUUGCAAAAUGCAGAUGUUCAGGUGUGUUUAGCUAAAUUUCUAAAGCACCGCAUCCCAGCUAUUAUGGCCUUAGGGAAAAUGUACCCACCCCAACUUCUGUUGUAUUUGUGGAAUGUUUUGGGUAAAUUCAGUGUGGACUGAUUGAUAAAUAUCAAAUGUAGAAAGGACAAAAUGAAAUCUUUAUUCUGCUAAUAUUGCAAUUUAUUAUUGUUUCUGUUUUAGGCGUACUGAACAGUUUUGAACAGUUUUUAAAGACAACAUUUGCUUUUAUUUACAAUAAUCAUGUAAAUCCUUCUCCAAGUGACUUGACUAUACUCCUUGUGAAAUGUUGCCUUGGAAACUUGCUUAUUUAACAAAUGUGUGCUUAUUGCUCACAUUGGUAUGUUUACUCCUCAAUCUUCCUUAGGCUUUCAUUUGCGCUAGCAGCUAAUCAGAUAAAGGGAAAGGCUCGUGUUGUUGCCAUGGAUUUACGGGGACAUGGGAAAUCUUCCACAAGUGAUGAUUUGGAUCUGUCCAUUGAAGUAUGUUCUUUCACUGUUUCCAUAACUUACUAAUUUGAUAGAUAGCUACACUUUUCAUACUUAUAAGGUACUCCAUGCUUCUUGACCUUGACCUUUAUCUAUGCUCUUGUUAUUUGCAACUGCAGACUCUUACCAAUGAUGUAAUAGCUGUUAUACGUACAUUGUAUGGAGAUCCGCCACCAGCAAUUAUACUUGUUGGUCAUAGGUAAGUCAGCAUUGUGUAUUUCUUCUUUUGUGUGUGCCUCCUUUAUCUGAAGGCACUUGACUGAAGUUCUAGUCAGUGGACAUAUUAGCAUGAUAUAUCCCUUGGUACAGUGCAUGUAGCCAAAAAACAUUAACAUAAAGUAAAUUAUCUUAAUAGUUUCUGGAAGCUAAUUUCCACGGUUAUAAAACUAACACGAAAAUGUCAUGAUACUAAUCACUAAUACAUUCUACCUUUAGUUACUCUGCUGUUACUUGGCUGGUUGUACUAUGCGUAUUCUUGACUCAGCAAGCUUGUUCAUUCUGAUAAGUGUUCUUGGUAGCUUCUAGUGAAUAGUGAUCCACUCUUUGACCUCCUUUUUUAGCAUGGGUGGUUCAGUGGCUGUACAUGUGGCUGCAAGAAGAGCAAUUCGUAAUCUUCAUGGUCUUGUUGUUGUUGAUGUGGUUGAGGUUAGUAACAGUUUACUUAUGUUAGAUCUUACAUUAUGGUUGCACAUGAAACGAUCUGACUCAUUGUUGAUUCCAAACUUCUCCAUUCGUACACAGGGAACAGCAAUGGCUUCAUUGAUUCAUAUGCAGAAAAUCUUAUUAAAUCGAGCACAGCACUUCCCGAGCAUUGAAAAAGCAGUAUGUUGAUUCAAAACUAUAUUCUGUGUGCUCAUGCCAUUUCAGCUUUAAGUAUGUUUGCUGUCCACAGUAUCUGAAUUCUCAUCUUUAGUUCAUUAUGCUGUCCUUCAUCACUUGAUUUUCGGAAGUAUGGAUUUAAUGUUGUAAAGAUUAUGGCCGCAAGACAUACAACAACUCAUGGUUCUGGCACAUGGAUAGCAAGCUUCCACGCAUCCCUGUCCAUGGCCGCAAGAUAUAAAUGAAGAAAUAAAAUAGAACAAGUAGAAGCCACUCAAUGCAAGUGGAAUUCUUAUAAAAAGCCAAAUGUACCAUGCUAAAAUAUAUCCUUCACCCUAUUUUUGUUUAAUCAAACUUAUAAUUACACAGAUUGAAUGGAGUGUCAAAGGUGGGCCGCUACGGAACAUUGAUUCUGCGCGUAUUUCUAUUCCAUCUACCUUGAAGUAUGAUGAAUCAAAGGAAUGGUAAGCAAUAUCUUACGUAAUGCAUGCCUGUAUCUUCAAGCUCAAUGUGGUUAGAGAAAAAAAAGUGCAUUUACUUGACAUUGACCAUUAUUUGGGUGACUAAAUAUAUUGGUGUUCUUUGUUUCAGCUAUACAUACCGUACUCCUCUUGAGAAAACAGAGAAGUACUGGAAAGGAUGGUAUGUUUUCAACCUGAUUAUGGUCUUUAUGCUAUUUCUACCACCACUUUUACUAAAACCAUGUCCAUUUUCACAUGAUCUGUACAAGUGCUAUCUGUGCUGCUCAAUUUGAUAUAUCUGGUUUACGCAAGAGGGUUUACCCAUUUAAUAUGAUAAGGACCCAACUCUUCUUACUAAUGUUGGAAGUUAAGCUAGUUGAAUGGAUUGAAACAAACAGAGAAGACCUUCAUGAAUUUUUUGGGGAACGCUCUUGUUGGUUUUGGAAAUACUUCUGAAUUAUUUGCUUAUCUUUUCUGUGAUUGGUUGACAUUGAAGCACAUAAAUGCUUCUGUUUUAGGUAUGAAGGUCUUUCAGACAAGUUCUUAUCUUGUCCUGUACAAAAGAUACUAUUAUUAGCUGGCACCGAUAGAUUGGACAGGUUUGCAACAUCCAUCCAGUCUGAGAAACUCUAUUUUCAUUCGUUACCGUUGCACGGUUGGCUUGUGCUAAAACCUUCACCAGUUAACUCUGUGCUAUUCAUUUCCGAUCGUUUGUUAUCAUUGUAUGUCAGUUGCACCAGCAUGUAGUGUGCACUAUGCUUUUCUAAGGGCAUGCAAUAUGUUUUUAAGAGUUUUUUUUUCUAUACUAGUUUUAGACUCGCACUAACAACCAGACUAUCAAGAUAGAGUUAUUUGAAGUGCAAAGCAUAUUACGCUGAUCCAUUAUCAAACCUUCUAUUUAAGAGGAUUUCAUUUUCCGAACAUGCAUUCUCAUUGUUCCCUUAAUAGUGUUCUGAAAUGUGAACACCCUGUAUCACUUCAUAGCCCAUGCAGGAAAGUAUGUGUAAUGCAUUGGUUAACAUGUUUUGCAGAGCUUUAACAAUUGGUCAAAUGCAAGGGAAGUUUCAAAUGAUAGUAGUUCGACACACUGGACAUGCCAUACAGGUUUGAUCCUAAUGUACUUCUAAUGUCUUUAGUCGAAGGCUUGGAUGUUUUCGCUUUAUAUCUGCUUCUAGGGCCUGAAUGACCACAGCAUGCCUAGAUGGGUAGAUGCUUGAGGGCUAAUUUGAAUUUUUCGUAGAAUUUGCUGACAUGCUGAAGCACACAUGGAUUAGCAACCAAAGGUUCAUCUACUGAUUGUUGUUCGUUAUUAUACUAGUUAUACUAGUGUUAUAGUUGACGAUUGUAUUUCUUCAGAAGAAUGAUAUUAUUAAGCUUUAUAACUAUCAGUGAUAAAUCUUACCAAUUUUUAGCAUAUUACUGAAAACUUCAUUUCAGGAAGAUGUGCCUGAAGAAUUUGCAUCACACAUACUGAACUUCAUAUCUCGCAACAAAAUAGGGCCCAAUGGUGUUGAGGUCAGUAACUAAUCUCCUUAUUUCCAUUUCCAAAUAUUUGCUUCGCUUUCCAACUAAUGUCUGGUACUUAUAUUUUCUCAGAUACCUGGCCUCAUAAAAAAAUGGCAGCAAUAGACUGGAAGGAGGAGCAGUACCUACUGCCAACAUCAGCACUAUGUAGGGAAAAAGCGAGGGCUCGUAUCGGUGCCUGUUUAUUGUGUUUCUCAUGGAAGAGAAAGUUUGUGCCAAAAAGAAAGACGAAACAAUAGGGAUGAGAUUUACCACUCAGUCGCCUAUCAUCCAUGCCGUGAAUGGUUUUUCGAGCAACUAUUGUGCCAUUUGUAAAUAAAUUUUCACACCCAAGUGCUGACCCAUGAACUAGAUUCGUGCUCUCUAGGUGUAUUGAUACAUUUUCAAGCCGACGCUUGGUUUGUUGUCCCAAUUGCAUGCACCUUCAAGGCAGGCUUCGAUUUUGCUGCCCCAGUUCUCUCUAACAUAAGAUUGUACUUGAGCCUUGGAGACCAUAUUAUACACAGUCGAAUGCGUAGUGUACAUACAAGAUUUGCACUUUUUUUUUUGACGGGUGUACAUACAAGAUUUUGUUGUUGUUGAAGCUAAGACUAAUGUUAUUUUCAAGUGGGGGUGGAGAAACCAAAAUCUGUGGUUUGGAUCCCAGCACAAAACGGCAUGAUAUUUUACUGGUUCCCGUGAGUAGCUUCAUUCCAUCCCUCGCUGUGUUUAUAUUUGUGCAAUUUACAUAUGAGAGGGGAUAUAACUGCACAUCUAGACGUGUCUUAAUUAUUGUAUAUCUAAGUGACUCAAUCAAGCAUAAAAAAAGAUAAAGAAAAAGGAAAAUACCCACAUGAAUCUCCGUGUAAAAUCAAUAACAUAUGGCUUAGAUGUGCAAUACUUAUAAUGACAUACGGCUUAGAUGUGCAAUACUUAUGGCACAUUGUGUUUUAGCAAAACUGUAACAAUAAAUCUGGCUAUCUCAAAAAAUAGAGAUAGUUGUACAUACAUCAUAGCCAGCACGAUUCUGAAAAACUGGUAAUCUGGUAAAAUAAAUAGGCAGUACAUACAACAUAGGCACUUAGGCAGUAGGUGAUUACAAGAUUCUGAAUAUCUUUUCCAUACCCAACAAAGCUUGUGAUUAAGAAAGAGAGACACAUCAGAGAGCCUUGAAGUUAGAUUUUAGACGCAAAUUGGUUUAUAAAAGAUACACUAGUUAAGUAUCCUAUUAUAUGAGCACACAUCAUUUAGAAAAACAAAUCUUGAACUACUAAAAUGGUGGAGACAUCACCCACAUGAUAUAAGCCCCUUUGGAGAGGUGAAAGUGUAUAAUCUCUUCUUUCAAUGUACAGAAGACAGUAAGGAAAAACAUGGCUGAUCUUCACUACUCUGUAGAAACUAUUUUACAGGACUUCUCUUCACACCAACGUGUGUGAAGAAAAGCAUAAAAAGAAUCAGAUAAGAAGGAGAAUGUUGUCCCUAUUUAAUCUAUUCUAUGUUUACAAUGUCUCUGAGAUCAUAUGCAGGUCAGGGAAGAAACCAAUGGAAUGGCUAUCAAUUUGUCCUUGAACAAUCAGCUAAACAACCAGUCAAAUAACAAAGCCUGAGUCAUAGGAUAGUCUCCUGAUCCGCUUGCAUCUCAAUGUUCCCUUGAUCAACUAUAGCAAAGGCAUCAGCAACCGGAAAAUACACCAAAAUCACAAUACCAGCCAUGGCAGCAAGCAUCAGCACCAGGAAGGAGGUAAAUACGAGAGUUUCAUGGGCUGUUUCACCUGGCCAUGAAACAAUGGAGAGCCCAAGAAGUGUAGCUCGGGGAAGUAAUAUCAUAGUGGCAAAUAUUAGCAUGUAUAUCCUCCGUCGGAGCCCCUUGUUGAUCACCAAAGACAGCAUCUGUCCUCCAACAAACAUCACAUAAAUGGCCAAUAUGAUGUAGAAUGCCCCAAGAAAUAUGCUGCUCAACAGUGGGUAUGUGCAUGUGACAUUGCCAUUGUGGACUGUUGAGGCUGAAUACCAGAACUUUCCAAGAUUUGAUGUUUGGCCAUCAUCUGAAGCAACACGAGGACCAAUGAAAACAACACAAGCUUCCCAGACAAACGAAGGAAGGCAGAUAAUAAACAUGGCACGUAUGGUUUUUUGAUUCCACUUCCGGUUUAAGGUACCAAGCUCUUGCUUCUGUAAAGCUGCACUGAGAAGGAAAGCGAGCAGCAAGAACAAUCCUGGCUCUGCAAACCCCAAAUUUGAGAUGAUAUAGAAUUUGCAAACAUUUGCUUGCCACAUCUGGUCAGAAGUGAACCUCCCCUCUCCAUUCACGAAAGUGAGCCGAAGUACUUCUCCAAUACCCCACCAGAAGGCAACCAAUACUAGUGUUAUCCGUGUCAGCCACGGCCCGUUGAAGUAGUUAAGUCGCUGGUAGCCUCUUCUGUUGAUCCACAGCUGAAAAUACACCGCUCGGCUUAGGCAGAUCAGGCCCAAGAUGGAAACUAUGGAAACGAGAGCAAUGGUCACCACACCAAUAAUCUUGGUGAAUAAAGUAAUCAAGUGCAUUACAAAAAGCUGAACAGCUCAAGACCUCCACGCAUUCUCACUUUAUUAACAGCACAGCCAAAGCUCUCACAUACUGCAGACCAAAAUCCUGAAAGGAGAGAAGAGCAGAAAGAUUACCAACACUGGAAGACAUGUGUAGGCAGGUAAUCAGCAAAUGGUGUUAUCUUGUUAGUAUUUUACGAUAACAGAAGAAAGACUUUGACUUGUCAAUGUAAGACACCCAUGCUUAACAGACAAGCUUCUCAUCUAGUCAGUGCUCAUUGUUGACAUGGCUUCAUUCACCAAACCCUUGACCUCUUCAGAAUUACCUGCCGUUCACCAAACCCUUGACCUCUUCAGAAUUACCUGCUUCUUUCAAUGCAUAUUUGCAUUGCAGAAUAAAAUCCAUCAUAGUUUUCUCUAUCUACAUUUCACUCCGUGAUUUAUGAGCAUAGUUCUCUUAAGAUUAACCCACCGUUUCAUUAUGAUUAGGUGAUCAUCACACAUUGUCUAAUCAUUGCAACUCAAGACGGCAGGGGCAAAAUAGUCCACGACAAAAAACUCGCAUAUGCAAUUUCCCCCAAACUAACGUGGGGGCAAACGAAUAAUUCAGCAAAUUGGUCUACAAAUACAAUCUCAAAGCUUCGAAACGAGAGAAACAAAAAUCAGCAAGAUCUACACAGCUCUAGCUAUGGGCGGAAUGACGAAAUCCUCAUACCUCAGAAAACAAUGGCCAAAAUUGCGGAUGGGGACGAGAGCCAGCAUGGACGGAAUGAGGUAGAACGGGAGCGGCGAUGGCGGCGACACGCUGAGAGGAUUGGGGGAGAGGGGGGCUGAGGCGUCGGUGGUGAUGCUAAGCGACGGCACGGCGGCAGCUCUAGGGCACGGAGAUGGACGAGAAGAGGAAAGAAAGGCGCCGGUACGGGACGGUGGAGAGGAAACCGUGGAGGAGAUCGAUUUUGACUCUCGGCAGACAGCACGUAUAUUCGACUUAAUAAAGGAAAAAACAAAGUACAGCAGUAUACCAGGUUUUCCUCUCUUUUAUACCCCCCCCGUUCCAAAAUAACUGACACGAGUAGGAAUUCUGCAAAAUAGUCCUUGAAAAUUUCCGUACUCAACAAGUAGUCCACGUCUGGUUUGGACACGACUCACACUCGCUCUUGCUUUGCACUCGCUCCACUUCUUGCUCUGCUCCCGCCCCCGGCCGCUGUGCUUUGCUCCGGCUCGCCACCGCAUUCCACUCUUCUCCCUCUCUUCCAUCUUCACUUGCCUAGCUGCGCUCCCUUCCAUGUUCCGACAGCAAACCUUCGAAAAGGUUGGACCUUCCGGUCCAAGAAGGCAACGAAUUGCUAGAUCCGGCGCCGGUGAGGCCGGAUCUGGUGGCUACAAGUCUGUACGCGCCGGAUCCGAACCACCACCAACACCAGAUGGGGGCCACGGCGGCAGGACGUCGGUGAGGUGUUGUCGCCCAUGACGACGCGACAACGGCGAUGCGAGCCACAGACUUGCGGGUGGGAGGAGAUGAGACAUCGCCCUUCACCGCCGCCAAGCUCGUGCCGCCGGUGGCCAUGAAUUUCAAAGGUCCUUCUGCGUGUCCUCCUCCGUCGAGGCAGCCCGGCGCGGCGUCUCGGCUCCAUCGUCCUCAAUGGCCGGUGAGAUAUCUCCUUCUCUCCUAGCCCUAGUGAAAAAAAUUCAUCUUGUGCAGCUUGUCUGAUUACAAUUGGAGUAACUAACAUGAUCAGAUGGAUACUACUGAAAGCACACUCUGUAAUAUGAUAACGACAAUGUAAUUCUUCAGAUUAGAGUAUUUAUUUUGCUAAAAACACACUUUAUGUGAUAAUGACAAUGUGUUCAAUAGAAUUCUCAGCAAGCACACUCUCUAAAACGAACAUCAAGAUUGUGUGGCAGUAGCUUGCAGCUGAGCAGUCAUGUCUGCACACUCUCAAUUAUCCUACUCUUAAAAUCAUUGAAAAAGCAUAAGUCUCUUCCAAGUUGGGCACACAUAUGCAAUGAAAGAAGUAGCAGUAGCUUUAGUGGAUGAAAGGAAUUGAUGAACAUCUUGAAAAUUAGUGUGGUGUUGUUCAUAAACAAGAAACAUGACAGUAUCUACAAAGGAAAGCGCUGGUAAGUAAGGAAAGAUCUGGACUAAGUACAGUUAUAAUUUUAAACAAGGAAAGCUCUUGCAGAUGAACAUUUUUUUUACCAGUUGUCAUGUUUCUUGUUUUUCUUGAAAAGAGUAUUAUCAGUAAAUGGACUAGAUGAACUUAGUAGUUAGAGUAGUUGAACAUUUUUUUCCUCCGUUUUGCGGUACGCCACACCCCUCCCGAUCAACAGGACUCCGUUUCGACCGUAGGAAGUCCAAGAGAAGUCCGUUUCCUUCGUUUUGCAGUACGCUGAUACGUCUCCAACGUAUCUAUAAAUUUUGAUUGUUCCAUGCUAUUAUAUUAUAUGUUUUGGAUGUUUAAUGGGCUUUACUAAGCACUUUUAUAUUAUUUUUGGGACUAACCUACUAACCGAAGGCCCAGUGCAAAUUGCUGUUUUUUUGCCUAUUUCAGUGUUUCGCAGAAAAGGAAUAUUAAACGGAGUCCAAACGGAAUGAAACCUUCGGAAGAGUUAUUUUUGGAACAAACGUGAUCCAGAGGACUUUGAGUGGACGUCAAGAAAGAAGCGAGGAGGCCACGAGGCAGGGAUGCGCACCUGCCCCCCUUGGGCGCGCCCCCACCCUUGUGGGCCCCUCGCAGCUCCACCGACCUACUUCUUCCUCCUAUAUAUAUUCAUAUACCCUGAAAACAUCCAGGAGCACCACGAAACCCUAUUUCCACCACCGCAACCUUCUGUACCCAUGAGAUCUCAUCUUGGGGCCUUUUCCGGCGCUCCACAUCAAAAAUUACAUUGAGAAAUAUGCUAGGUAGCAUUCCACAUCAAAAAUUCUGUUUUUAUCAUUUACCUACUCGAGGACGAGCAGGAAUUAAGCUUGGGGAUGCUUGAUACGUCUUCAAUGUAUCUAUAAUUUUUGAUUGUUCCAUGCUAUUAUAUUAUUUGUUUUGAAUGUUUAAUGGGCUUUACUAAGCACUUUUAUAUUAUUUUUGGGACUAACCUACUAACCGAAGGCACAGUGCAAAUUGCUGUUUUUUCCCUAUUUCAGUGUUUCGCAGAAAAAGAAUAUCAAACGGAGUCCAAACAGAAUGAAACCUUUGGGAGAGUUAUUUUUGGAACAAACAUGAUCCAAAUGACUUGGAGUGGACGUCAAGAAAGAAGCGAGGAGGCCACGAGGCAGGGAGGCGCGCCUGCCCCCCUGGGCGCGCCCCCACCCUUGUGGGCCCCUCGCAGCUCCACCGACCUACUUCUUCCUCCUAUAUAUAUCCAUAUACCCCGAAAACAUCCAGGAGCACCACGGAACCCUAUUUUCACCGCCGCAACCUUCUGUACCCGUGAGAUCCCAUCUUGGGGCCUUUUUUGGCGCUCCGCCGGAGGGGGAAUCGAUCAUGGAGGGCUUCUACAUCAACACCAUAGCCUCUCCGAUGAUGUGUGAGUAGUUUACCACAGACCUUCGGGUCCAUAGUUAUUAGCUAGAUGGCUUCUUCUCUCUCUUUGGAUCUCAAUACAAAGUUCUCCUCGAUUCUCUUGGAGAUCUAUCCGAUGUAAUUCUUUUUGCGGUGUGUUUGUCGAGAUCCGAUGAAUUGUGGGUUUAUGAUCAAGAUUAUCUAUGAACAAUAUUUGAAUCUUCUCUGAAUUCUUUUGCGUAUGAUUGGUUAUCUUUGCAAGUCUCUUCGAAUUAUCAGUUUGGUUUGGCCUACUAGAUUGAUCUUUCUUGCAAUGGGAGAAGUGCUUAGCUUUGGGUUUAAUCUUGCGGUGUCCUUUCCCAGUGACAGCAGGGGCAGCAAGGCACGUAUUGUAUUAUUGCCAUCGAGGAUAAAAAGAUGGGGUUUAUAUCAUAUUGCUUGAGUUUAUCCCUCUACAUCAUGUCAUCUUGCUUAAUGCGUUACUCCAUUCUUAUGAACUUAAUACUCUAGACGCAUGCUGGAUAGCGGUCGAUGUGUGGAGUAAUAGUAGUAGAUGCAGAAUCGUUUCGGUCUACUUGUCGCGGACGUGAUGCCUAUAUACAUGAUUAUGCCUAGAUAUUCUCAUAAUUAUGCACUCUUCUAUCAAUUGCUCGACAGUAAUUGGUUUACCCACCGUAAUACUUAUGCUAUCUUGAGAGAAGCCACUAGUGAAACCUAUGGCCGCCGGGUCUAUUUUCCAUCAUAUAAGUUUCCAAUCUAUUUUUAUUUUGCAAUCUUUACUUUCAGUCUCUAUCAUAAAAAUACCAAAAAUAUUUAUCUUAUUAUCUCUAUCAGAUCUCACUUUUGCAAGUGGCCGUGAAGGGAUUGACAACCCCUUUAUCGCGUUGGUUGCAAGGUUCUUAUUUUGUUUGUGUAGGUACGAGGCGACUUCUGUGUAGUCCCCUACUGGAUUGAUACCUUGGUUCUCAAAAACUGAGGAAAAUACUUACACUACUUUGCUGCAUCACCCUUUCCUCUUCAAGGGAAAAACCAACGCAGUGCUCAAGAGGUAGCAAGAAGGAUUUCUGGCGUCGUUGCCGGGGAGAUCUACGCCAAGUCAAGUCAAGUCAAGACAUACCAAGUACCCAUCACAACUCUUAUGCCUCGCAUUACAUUAUUUGACAUUUGCCUCUCGUUUUCCUCCCCCCACUUCACCCUUGCCGUUUUAUUCGCCCUCUUUUUUCGUUCGCCUCUUUUCGCUUGCUUCUUGUGUGCUUGUGUGUUGGAUCGUUUGUCACGAUGGUUCAAGACAAUACUAAAUUGUGUGACUUUUCCAAUGCCAGCAAUAAUGAUUUUCUUAGCACUCCGAUUGCUCCUCUUACCGAUGCUGAAUCUUGUGAAAUUAAUGCUGCUUUGUUGAAUCUUGUCAUGAAAGAUCAAUUCUCUAGCCUUCCUAGUGAAGAUGCCGCUACACAUCUAAACAACUUUGUUGAUUUGUGUGAUAUGCAAAAGAAGAAAGAUGUGGAUAAUGAUAUUGUUAAAUUGAAGCUAUUUCCGUUUUCGCUUAGAGAUCGUGCUAAAACUUGGUUUUUAUCUUUGCCUAAAAAUAGUAUUGAUUCUUGGAAUAAGUGCAAAGAUGCUUUUAUCUCUAAGUAUUUUCCUCCCGCUAAGAUCAUCUCUCUUAGAAACGAUAUUAUGAAUUUUAAGCAACUUGAUCAUGAACAUGUUGCACAAUCUUGGGAGAGGAUGAAAUUAAUGAUACAUAAUUGCCCUACACAUGGAUUGAAUUUAUGGAUGAUUAUACAAAAUUUUUAUGCCAGAUUGAAUUUUUCUUCUAGAAAUCUUUUAGAUUCGGCCACGGGAGGCACUUUUAUGGAAAUCACUUUAGGAGAAGCUACUAAACUCCUAGAUAAUAUUAUGGUUAAUUAUUCUCAAUGGCACACCGAAAGAUCCACUAGUAAAAAGGUCCAUGCGAUAGAAGAGAUUAAUGUUUUGAGUGGAAAGAUGGAUGAACUUAUGAAGUUGUUUGCUAAUAAGAGUGCUCCUAUUGAUCCCAAUGAUAUGCCUUUGUCUACUUUGAUUGAGAAUAAUAAUGAAUCUAUGGAUGUGAAUUUUGUUGGUAGGAACAAUUUUGGUAACAACGCUUAUAGAGGAAACUUUAAUCCUAGGCCGUAUCCUAGUAAUUCCUCUAAUAAUUAUGGUAAUUCCUACAACAACUCUUAUGGAAAUUUUAAUAAGAUGUCCUCUGAUUUUGAGACUAGUGUUAAAGAAUUUAUGAUUUCUCAAAAGAAUUUCAAUGCUUUGCUUGAAGAAAAAUUGCCUAAGAUUGAUGAGUUGGCUAGGAACAUGGAUAGAAUUUCCUUUGAUGUUGAUUCUUUGAAACUUAGAUCUAUUCCUCCUAAGCAUGAUAUCAAUGAGUCUCUCAAAUCUAUGAGAAUUUCCAUUGAUGAGUGCAAAGAAAGAACCGCUAGGAUGCGUGCUAAGAAAGAUUGCUUUGUAAAAGCGUGUUCUUCUAGUUUCCAUGAUAAUAGGGAUGAAGAUCUAAAAGUUACUGAUGUGUCCCCUAUUAAAUAUUUGUUUUGAAAUAUGAAUCUUGAUAAUGCUGGGACUGGAGAUGAGUCAACUUUAGUUAAAAGGCGCCCCAAUGAUUCGGAGUUUUUAGAUCUUGAUGCAAAAAUUGGUAAAAGUGGGAUUGAAGAGGUCAAAACUUUACAUAGGAAUGAACCCACUAUUUUGGAUUUCAAGGAAUUUAAUUAUGAAAAUUGUUCUUUAAUAGAUUGUAUUCCCUUGUUGCAAUCCGUGUUAAAUUCUCCUCAUUCUUAUAGUCAAAAUAAAGCUUUUACCAAACAUAUCGUUGAUGCUUUAAUGCAAUCUUAUGAAGAAAAACUUGAAUUAGAAGUUUCUAUCCCUAGAAAACUUUAUGAUGAGUGGGAACCUACUAUUAAAGUUAAGAUUAAAGAUCAUGAAUGCUAUGCUUUAUGUGAUUUGGGUGCUAGUGUUUCCACGAUUCCAAAAACUUUGUGUGAUGUGUUAGGUUUCCGCGAAUUUGAUGAUUGUUCUUUAAACUUGCACCUUGCGGAUUCCACCAUUAAGAAACCUAUGGAAAGAAUUAAUGAUGUUCUUAUUGUUGCAAAUAGGAAUUAUGUGCCCAUAGAUUUCAUCGUGCUUGAUAUAGAUUGCAAUCCUGCAUGUCCUAUUAUUCUUGGUAGACCUUUCCUUAGAAUGAUCGGUGCAAUUAUUGAUAUGAAAGAAGGAAAUAUUAGAUUCCAAUUUCCGUUAAGGAAAGGCAUGGAACACUUUCCUAGAAAUAAAAUAAAAUAACCUUAUGAAUCUAUUAUGAGAGCCACUUAUGGAUUGCAUACCAAAGAUGACAAAACCUAGAUCUAUUCUUACCUUUAUGCCUAGCUAGGGGCGUUAAACGAUAGCGCUUGUUGGGAGGCAACCCAAUUUUAUUUUUGUUUCUUUCUUUUUGGUUUUGUUUAGUAAUAAAUAAUUCAUCUAGCCUCUGUUUAGAUGUGUUUUCAUGUUUUAAUUAGUGUUUGUGCCAAGUAGAACCUUUGGGAAGACUUGGGUGAAGUCUUUUUGAUCUUACUGUAAAGAACAGAAACUUUAGCGCUCACGAGAUUAGCUGCCAUUUUUUACUGGAGAGUGCUAUUUAGUUGAUUAUUUUUGAAGAUGAUUAAUAGACAAAUUCCUCAUGUCCAGCAAUUUAUUUUAGAAUUUGUGGAGUUACAGAAGUAUACGUUUGAUACAGAUUACUACAAACUGUUCUGUUUUUGACAGAUUCUGUUUUUCGUGUGUUGUUUGCUUAUUUUGAUGAAUCUAUGGCUAGUAUCGGAGGGUAUGAACCAUAGAUAAGUUGGAAUAAAGUAGGUUUAACACCAAUAUAAAUAAAUAAUGAGUUCAUUACAGUACCUUGAAGUGGUGGUUUGUUUUCAUUCGCUAACGGAGCUCAUGAGAUUUUUCUGUUAAGUUUUGUGUUGUGAAGUUUUCAAGUUUUGGGUAAAGAUUUGAUGGAUUAUGGAAUAAGGAGUGGCAAGAGCCUAAGCUUGGGGAUUCCCAAGGCACCCCAAGGUAAAAUUCAAGGACGACCAAAAGCCUAAGCUUGGGGAUGCCCCGGAAGGCAUCCCCUCUUUCGUCUUCGUCUAUCGGUAACUUUACUUGAGGCUAUAUUUUUAUUCACCACAUGAUAUGUGUUUUGCUUGGAGCGUCUUGUAUUAUUUGAGUCUUUGCUUUUUAGUUUACCACAAUCAUAUUUUAUAUACACACCUUUUGGGAGAGACACACAUGAAUCAGAAUUUAUUAGAAUACUCUAUGUGCUUCACUUAUAUCUUUUGAGCUAGAUAAUUUUGCUCUAGUGCUUCACUUAUAUCUUUUAGAGCACGGUGGUGGUUUUAUUUUAUAGAAAUUAUUGAUCUCUCAUGCUUCACUUAUAUUAUUUUGAGUGUCUUUUAGAAUAGCAUGGUAGUUUGCUUUGGCUAUAAAGUUAGUCCUAAUAUGAUGAACAUCCAAGAUGGGUAUAAUAAAAACUAUCAUAUAAAGUGCAUCGAAUACUAUGAGAAGUUUGAUACUUGAUAAUUGUUUUGAGAUAUGAAGAUGGUGAUAUUAGAGUCAUGCUAGUUGAGUAGUUGUGAAUUUGAGAAAUAAUUGUUCUAAAGUUUGUGAUUCCCGUAGCAUGCACGUAUGGUGAACCGUUAUGUGAUAAAGUCAGAGCAUGAUUUAUUUAUUGAUUGUCUUCCUUAUGAGUGGCGGUCGGGGACGAGCGAUGGUCUUUUCCUACCAAUCUAUCCCCCUAGGAGCAUGCGCGUAGUACUUCAUUUUGAUAACUAAUAGAUUUUUGCAAUAAGUAUGUGAGUUCUUUAUGACUAAUGUUGAGUCCAUGGAUUAUACGCACUCUCACCCUUCCACCAUUGCUAGCCUCUCUAAUACCGCGCACCUUUCGCCGGUAUCAUACACCCACCAUAUACCUUCCUCAAAACAGCCACCAUACCUACCUAUUAUGGUAUUUCCAUAGCAUUCCGAGAUAUAUUGCCAUGCAACUUACCACCGUUCCGUUUAUUAUGACACGCUUCAUUUUUGUCAUAUUGCUUUGCAUGAUCAUGUAGUUGACAUCGUAUUUGUGGCAAAGCCACCAUUCAUAAUUCUUUCAUACAUGUCACUCUUGAUUCAUUGCAUAUCCCGGUACACCGCCGGAGGCAUUCACAUAGAGUCAUAUUUUGUUCUAAGUAUUGAGUUGUACUCUUUGAGUUGUAAGUAAAUAAAAGUGACCAAGUGAGGAAAGGAUGAUGGAGACUAUGAUUCCCCCACAAGUCGGGAUGAGACUCUGGACGAAAAGAAGAAAAAAAGAGAAAAAAAAGAGGCCAUGAAAAGAAGAGAAAAAGGCCUAAAAAAAGAGAGAAAAAGGCCCCCAAAAAGAGAGAAAAAUAGAGAAGGGACAAUGUUACUAUCCUUUUACCACACUUUUACUUCAAAGUAGCACCAUGAUCUUCAUGAUAGAGAGUCUCCUAUGAUGUCACUUUCAUAUACUAGUGGGAAUUUUACAUUAUAGAAAUUGGCUUGUAUAUUCCAAUGAUGGGCUUCCUCAAAAUGCCCUAGGUCUUCGUGAGCAAGCAAGUUGGAUGCGCACCCACUUAGUUUCUUUUGUUGAGCUUUCAUACACUUAUAGCUCUAGUGCAUCCGUUGCAUGGCAAUCCCUACUCACUCACAUUGAUAUCUAUUGAUGGGCAUCUCCAUAGCCCAUUGAUACGCCUAGUUGAUGUGAGACUAUCUUCUCCUUUUUGUCUUCUCCACAACCACCAUUCUAUUCCACAUAUAGUGCUAUGUCCAUGGCUCACGCUCAUGUAUUGCGUGAAGAUUGAAAAUUUUUGAGAACAUCAAAAGUAUGAAACAAUUGCUUGGCUUGCCAUCGGGGUUGUGCAUGAUUAAAUACUUUGUGUGAUGAAGAUAGAGUAUAGCCAGACUAUAUGAUUUUAUAGGGAUAACUUUCUUUGUCCAUGUUAUUUUGAGAAGACAUGAUUGCUUUGUUAGUAUGCUUGAAGUAUUAUUAUUUUCAUGUCAAUAUUAAACUUUUGUCUUGAAUCUUUCGGAUCUGAACAUUCAUGCCACAAUAAAGGAAACUACAUUGAGAAAUAUGCUAGGUAGCAUUCCACAUCAAAAAUUCUGUUUUUAUCAUUUACCUACUCGAGGACGAGCAGGAAUUAAGCUUGGGGAUGCUUGAUACGUCUCCAAUGUAUCUAUAAUUUUUGAUUGUUCCAUGCUAUUAUAUUAUCUGUUUUGGAUGUUUAAUGGGCUUUACUAAGCACUUUUAUAUUAUUUUUGGGACUAACCUACUAACCGAAGGCACAGUGCAAAUUGCUGUUUUUUUCCCUAUUUCAGUGUUUCGCAGAAAAGGAAUAUCAAACGGAGUCCAAACAGAAUGAAACCUUUGGGAGAGUUAUUUUUGGAACAAACAUGAUCCAAAUGACUUGGAGUGGACGUCAAGAAAGAAGCGAGGAGGCCACGAGGCAGGGAGGCGCGCCUGCCC
rnacentral:lncRNA from 1 species